rnacentral:rRNA from 1 species
AUUGAACGCUGGCGGCAUGCCUUACACAUGCAAGUCGAACGGCAGCACGGGAGCAAUCCUGGUGGCGAGUGGCGAACGGGUGAGUAAUAUAUCGGAACGUGCCCAGUCGUGGGGGAUAACGCAGCGAAAGCUGUGCUAAUACCGCAUACGAUCUAUGGAUGAGAGAGGGGGAUCGCAAGACCUCGCGCGAUUGGAGCGGCCGAUAUCAGAUUAGUUAGUUGGUGGGGUAAAGGCCCACCAAGGCGACGAUCUGUAGCUGGUCUGAGAGGACGAAAGCCACACUGGAACUGAGACACGGUCCAGACUCCUACGGGAGGCAGCAGUGGGGAAUUUUGGACAAUGGGCGCAAGCCUGAUCCAGCAAUGCCGCGUGCAGGAUGAAGGCCUUCGGGUUGUAAACUGCUUUUGUACGGAACGAAACGGUCCUUUCUAAUACAGAGGGCUAAUGACGGUACCGUAAGAAUAAGCACCGGCUAACUACGUGCCAGCCGCCGCAGUAA